AGUUCUUUGUCAAAGCAUCAAUAAAACAUGUUCCAAAAAAAAAAAAUCUGUUCUUAUCAGUUUAAUAACUGAUACGUCCCUUAUCCGGAGACCAUAUAUUAAAUUGAUUUUUGGGCCUGGGAGAUGGAAUAGGGGCUUGCUCCGUCCACUCCAUGCAUCGACCUGGUAUUGCAGUACCUCCAGGAACGGUGCACCCCCU